UACGUAGGGUGCAAGCGUUGUCCGGAAUUAUUGGGCGUAAAGAGCUCGUAGGCGGCUUAGAAAGUCAGGUGUGAAAACUCUGGCUUAACCCAGAGACGCCACUUGAUACUUCUAUGGCUUGAGUUCGGUAGGGGACCAUGGAAUUCCUGGUGUAGCGGUGAAAUGCGCAGAUAUCAGGAGGAACACCGAUGGCGAAGGCAGUGGUCUGGGCCGAUACUGACGCUGAGGAGCGAAAGCGUGGGGAGCGAACAGG
rnacentral:rRNA from 1 species